UACAGAGGUCCCGAGCGUUGUUCGGAUUCACUGGGCGUAAAGGGUGCGUAGGUGGUGAGGUAAGUCGGAUGUGAAAUCUCGGAGCUCAACUCCGAAAUGGCAUUGGAAACUACCUUGCUCGAGGGUUGGAAGGGGGACUGGAAUGCUUGGUGUAGCAGUGAAAUGCGUAGAUAUCAAGCGGAACACCAGUGGCGAAGGCGAGUCCCUGGACAACUCCUGACACUGAGGCACGAAGCUAGGGGAGCAAACAGG
rnacentral:rRNA from 1 species